UGGGGAAUUUUGCACAAUGGGGGCAACCCUGAUGCAGCGACGCCGCGUGAUUUAGAAGGCCUUCGGGUUGUAAAAAUCUUUUGUAUAGGAAGAAAAUGACAGUACUAUACGAAUAAGGUCCGGCUAAUUACGUGCCAGCAGCCGCGGUAAUACGUAAGGACCGAGCGUUGUCCGGAAUCAUUGGGCGUAAAGGGUACGUAGGCGGUUAAAAAAGUUAGAAGUGAAAGGCUAUAGCUCAACUAUAGUAAGCUUUUAAAACUGUUUAACUUGAGAGAUGGAAGGGAAAGUGGAAUUCCUAGUGUAGCGGUGAAAUGCGCAGAUAUUAGGAGAAAUACCGGUGGCGAAGGCGACUUUCUGGCCAUUAUCUGACGCUGAGGUACGAAAGCGUGGGUAGCAAACAGG
rnacentral:rRNA from 1 species